UUGUGUGAAGAGAUAUUCCAAGUGGUUUUUGUUGGUGAAUAUGGGCAUGGCUAGACUUUCGUUUUGCACGCGUGCAAGGACUCGAGUCUCAUGGACAUUGAAGGCACUUAUUUCACCUGAGAUACGGACAGUAGACGUUGACAGAGUGAAUUUGGAGGUAGGCCUAGAACUAAUAGACCGUGUGGGUUGGGUUUCUGUGAACUGGCAUAAUGCACCGGAUGACAUCUAGGUGUAUGAGGAAUUUGUGACUGUUGUUGAGUGUGCAGUAAUUGUUCAAGGAAUGUGUAUUUUUCUGUCCGGUCACAUACACCUGGAUAUUAUCGGGGACAUUACAAUCUGUCAUUUUUUUGUACAAGAGCUUUGCAGAUGCUAGUGUUCGUCAAUCGAGGGGUAUUCCCAAUCGAGGCGAGAGUUAACAGAAGACUGAGUUGGAGGAACAUGUAGAACAGGGCGGCAGUCGUCAGGUGUAGGCAAAUCAUUUAAUAGACGGAAGAGAUGACACAGCUCAGAUGAAUCUCCGGAAAGAACUGGACAUCGCAGAGAAUGUGGAAGUGCACGAAGGUUUUUAACGACGCCUCGCUUCGAUGUCCCGACAUAAACUUGGAAACCGACAUCAAUCACCUCUUGGCUGCUGUGGCACGGAGGCAGUGCGGUGUGUAGGUCUUAAUGCACUUUGACGACUUAUCGGCCAUACAUCCUGUGAAUGAUAUUUUGUGAAAGCCUAAAGUCAUCGUCUAGCAGUAGGUACAAUUCCGCAUCACCGAUGACCAGGGUGAAGUUGUAGCAGAUGAAAUUUUAGACAUACAUUUGUAAGACAUUGUUUACAGAUAUACAUUUAUCAAUUAUUGAUGACAACCCACUGCUUGGAAUACAAAUAAAACCAUAA